AACCUCCGCAAUGUGAGAAAUCGCGACGGGGGGAUCCCAAGUGCCAUUCUUAACGGGAUGGCUUUUCAUUAGUGUAAAGAGCUUUUGGAAUAAGAGCUGGGCAAGACCGGUGCCAGCCGCCGCGGUAACACCGGCAGCUCUAGUGGUAACAAUUUUUAUUGGGCCUAAAGCGUCCGUAGCCGGUUUAAUAAGUCUCUGGUGAAAUCCUGCAGCUUAACUGUGGGAAUUGCUGGAGAUACUAUUAGACUUGAGACCGGGAGAGGUUAGAGGUACUCCCAGGGUAGAGGUGAAAUUCUGUAAUCCUGGGAGGACCGCCUGUUGCGAAGGCGUCUAACUGGAACGGUUCUGACGGUGAGGGACGAAAGUUAGGGGCGCGAACCGGAUUAGAUACCCGGGUAGUCCUAACUGUAAACGAUGCGGACUUGGUGUUGGGUGGCUUUGAGCUGCUUCAGUGCCGAAGGGAAGCUGUUAAGUCCGCCGCCUGGGAAGUACGGUCGCAAGACUGAAACUUAAAGGAAUU
rnacentral:rRNA from 1 species